rnacentral:lncRNA from 1 species
AAACUUAAACUGGACAUUGUCCCCAAUGUCAGAAAACAAUAUAAUGCAAAUAAAAAUAAAAUAAAUAAAUAAUAAGAAACAAAAUAAAGCAAUUGGACUGAAAACUUCCCUAGUUUGCAGUAAAACCAAGUGAUGACCCCCCAGGCUAAAAUUCUGCAAUCAACUUCAAGGGUGGAAAUAACCAAAAGUUCCUGCAAAGAAAAGAAAUAAUUCAGUUA